rnacentral:rRNA from 1 species
UACGGGGGGGGGCAAGCGUUGUUCGGAAUUACUGGGCGUAAAGGGCUCGUAGUCGGCCAACUAAGUCAGACGUGAAAUCCCUCGGCUUAACCGGGGAACUGCGUCUGAUACUGGAUGGCUUGAGGUUGGGAGAGGGAUGCGGAAUUCCAGGUGUAGCGGUGAAAUGCGUAGAUAUCUGGAGGAACACCGGUGGCGAAGGCGGCAUCCUGGACCAAUUCUGACGCUGAGGAGCGAAAGCCAGGGGAGCAAACGGG